CCUUGACCAUAAUGACAAUUAGUGGAGUGUCGAAAACCAGCUCCGUCAAAGUAUUAUCCUUAUUCAUUUGUUUGUUAGAGAGUCAUUCCUGAAAUACGGUGUAACACGGCCUCUGUAAUCCAUGAAUGCAGGGACGGUUCAGCUGCCUCUGCCUCUGCCUCGUGCUUAGUCCACGUGUGGUUAGCGUGUGGUGAGGAGCAGACAUCGGUUGAGCUGGUGCACAUUGCUAUAGAGGACUCCAUUGCAACUCAGGCUUCACCCUUGGGAAAACUGGCAAUUUUAUCCCACAUCUGGAUUUAGCAAGUCCAGGCUGCACUAGGAGAAAACAAAGAAAGCGCCUGGCUCUGGCAGCUCCCUCCGCUGUCCAUUGACUUCAUUCUCGGCAGCAGUUUUGAGGUCGAGGUCCACCUCCAUUUACUCCGAACUUCUGAAGAUGGGAUGGGUGAACACCAGGAAGAAGCCACGCUAUGCACCGCAGGUGGCGUAUACCCAGCCUUGGCUUGCCUUUGUUGAGGCCUUCCAGCAAGACACAGGCUUUGCACACCGCUUGGGACGACACAUGGCCACACCUCUCACAAAUGGACUGGGUGGGCAUCUUCACACCCUCACGUACCGAGAAACUUUCACCUGCAGAGGAAUAACAUGGAUACACGUGGUGGACGGCUGAGUAUGGAGACGGGAGUUCGACAAUAUUGCAGUGGACGAAAGAAGGAUAGGGAGUGAUACAAAGGCUGGCACAUAAGUACUUUUAUUGUUGUCAGGCCUCUUCAAAUGAUAAAGGUUGAAAGUAUCUCUCUCAACACAAUGCCCAGUGGUGGUAGUGACAUGGGAAGCAGGAAGGAAGAGGUGACAAGUGAGUACACAGGACAUCAAGGAGAGGAACAAGAGGUAUAGUAGAUACAGCCUGUCCAUGAUGUCCGAGCUUAUUACUGAGGAGGGGGACAACAGUAGUUUCCGUAAGAGACUAUGGACCUUGAUUCGACAGCCUCCAAAGUGCACCACUUGAACCAGCCUCCUGCCUCCCUAGCUCAUUCCUACUGAAGACGACAAAAGUGGCUCCCCAAGAAACUGUGGUCUGGAUUGAACAGCUUCCUGAACACACCACUUGACCAACAGUCAGCCUACCCAGGAUGCCCAGCCUACCCUCACCAAUGGAGACAGUAAAAACGGGUCCCAAAUAUCCUGAAAACACCUAAAUAGGACUAUGAAAAAAUAUUACUACUUUUAGGGGAAGAUGUGACAAAAAAAAAAAAAUGUCUGAAAAGGACUUUAUUUGUCAAAUAGUGUAAUUAUAUAUACAUUAAAAGAUAGUUAACCCCAUAAAAACUUAGUUUGUAAUGGAAUGGAGAAUUUAAAGGUUUUAUGGGGUUAACUAUCUUUUAAUGUAUAUAUAAUAACUAUCAAAAUCUCUGGAGAGUCUAAAAAGAGUAUUUUUGACUUUAAAGUUUGUAUGGGUAUGGGGCUUUUACUGCCCUUGUGUAAUUACACAUUUUUGUGACCUUUUGAUGCCAUUUCUAGAUUUUCAGCCACAAUUACAAUUGUAUUAAGGCGUU